rnacentral:sRNA from 1 species
AGAAGACGAGCUGAAGU